CCUACGGGAGGCAGCAGUGGGGAAUAUUGGUCAAUGGGCGCAAGCCUGACCCAGCAACGCCGCGUGAAGGAAGAAGGCUUUCUGGUUGUUAACUUCUUUUCUCAGGGACGAAAAAAGUGACGGUACCUGAGGAAUAGGCCACGGCUAACUACGUGCCAUCAGCCGCAGUAAUACGUAGGUGGCCAGCGUUAUCCGGAUUGAUUGGGUGUAAAGGGCGGGUAGGCGGGAGCGCAAGUCAGAUGUGAAAACUGAGGGCUCAACCCUGAGCCUGCAUUUGAAACUGUGGUUCUUGAGUGCUUGAGAGGCAAUCGGAAUGCGGGGUGUAGCGGUGAAAUGCGUAGAUAUACGGAGGAACACCAGUGGCGAAGGCGGAUUGCUGGACAGUAACUGACGCUGAGGCGCGAAAGCGUGGGGAGCAAACAGGAUUAGAUACCCUUGUAGUC
rnacentral:rRNA from 1 species